UUUGAAAUUAAUCUGAAGGAAAAAAAAUGAAUUUGUAGACUUCGUCUUGUCAGAAGACUGGAGCCAGGUACCAGGAGGACUUUAACCCGCUGGUGAGAGGAUGUUCCUGUUACUGCUGUAAGAAUCACACUCGGGCAUACAUCCACCAUCUGCUGGUGACCAAUGAGCUGCUGGCCGGAGUCCUGCUUAUGAUGCACAACUUUGAACACUACUUUGGGUUUUUCCAUUACAUCCGGGAAGCACUAAAAAGUGACAAACUGGCACAGUUGAAAGAGCUCAUCCACAGGCAAGCAUCUUGAGAUCUUGCAAAUACAAGUCUCACUCUUCACACUGAGCCUGUACCACUGUUGUAACAUGGGAAGACGUGAAGAAGAAAUAAUCUGAGCUUUAAUUAUUUAUAUUUGGAUAUAAGGUCUGCUUAAAUAAAGAAUCUUUGUACCAAACUGCCCACAUGAGGGUGAAGAGAUUUCCUCAAAAGACUUAAAUGACCUGGAUUGAUCAGAGAGAAUUGAACUGUGACCUUUAAGACUUCUAGACUAAUUCUUUUAGUUGAUAGAGAUUCAUUUAGUCAAAGACAAAAGCUUUAACUGUGAGGGCACAGCCUUGAAGUGGGAGUGAUGAGAUUCUGAGGGACCCAUGAAUUGGAUUGAGGCUUGAGGGGAAAUGGUGUGAGACGAAUGGGCUCUGGACAUAUGCCUGUUGAUUUGAGAAGAAAUCUGGCUGGUUUGAGGGUUUCCUUUAGUUCACCCUCAUACUCUCAGGAGACUCUUCUGGAUACUUUUGUCUUCCACCCUGCCCUGGCAGUGCAGCCAAUCAGAAAUGGCUCUUGUGACUUAACUGGGCUUGGAUAUCCCUGGAAUGUGGGGCUUGAACAUUGCUCC
rnacentral:lncRNA from 1 species